GGGGAAUUUUGGACAAUGGGGGCAACCCUGAUCCAGCCAUCCCGCGUGUGCGAUGAAGGCCUUCGGGUUGUAAAGCACUUUUGGCAGGGAAGAAAAGGCGCUGGUUAAUACCUGGCGCCGCUGACGGUACCUGCAGAAUAAGCACCGGCUAACUACGUGCCAGCAGCCGCGGUAAUACGUAGGGUGCAAGCGUUAAUCGGAAUUACUGGGCGUAAAGCGUGCGCAGGCGGUUCGGCAAGAAGGAUGUGAAAUCCCGGGGCUUAACCUCGGAACUGCAUUCUUAACUGCCGGGCUAGAGUAUGUCAGAGGGGGGUAGAAUUCCACGUGUAGCAGUGAAAUGCGUAGAGAUGUGGAGGAAUACCGAUGGCGAAGGCAGCCCCCUGGGAUAAUACUGACGCUCAUGCACGAAAGCGUGGGGAGCAAAC
rnacentral:rRNA from 1 species